rnacentral:rRNA from 1 species
AUUGAACGCUGGCGGCAGGCCUAACACAUGCAAGUCGAGCGGAUGCAGGGAGCUGCUUCCUGUAUCGAGCGGCGGACGGGUAAGUAAUGCCUAGGAAUCUGCCAGUGCGUGGUGGAUAACGUCCGGUACUGGGCGCUAAUACCGCAUCCGCCUUACGGGAGAAAGUGAGGGAUGUUCGGCCUCCACGCUCUUAGCUGAGGCUAGGUCGGAUUAGCUAGUUGGUGGGGUAAGGGCCUACCAAGGCGACGAUCCGUAACUGGUCUGAGAGGAUGAGCAGUCACACUGGAACUGAGACACGGUCCAGACUCCUACGGGAGGCAGCAGUGGGGAAUAUUGGACAAUGGGCGAAAGCCUGAUGCAGCCAUGCCGCGUGUGUGAAGAAGGUCUUCGGAUUGUAAAGCACUUUCAGCUGGGAGGAAGGGAAGAAAGUUAAUACCUUUGCGCAUUGACGUUACCAACAGAAGAAGCACCGGCUAACUCCGUG